rnacentral:rRNA from 1 species
CCUACGGGGGGCAGCAGUGGGGAAUAUUGGACAAUGGGGGGAACCCUGAUCCAGCGACGCCGCGUGAGUGAAGAAGUAUUUCGGUAUGUAAAGCUCUAUCAGCAGGGAAGAAAAUGACGGUACCUGACCAAGAAGCCCCGGCUAACUACGUGCCAGCAGCCGCGGUAAUACGUAGGGGGCAAGCGUUAUCCGGAUUUACUGGGUGUAAAGGGAGCGUAGACGGUGCAGCAAGUCUGAUGUGAAAGGCCGGGGCCCAACCCCGGGACUGCAUUGGAAACUGUGGAGCUGGAGUACAGGAGAGGUAAGCGGAAUUCGGAGUGUAGCGGUGAAAUGCGUAGAUAUUAGGAGGAACACCAGUGGCGAAGGCGGCUUACCGGACUGUAACUGACGUUGAGGCGCGAAAGCGUGGGGAGCAAACAGGAUUAGAUACCCCAGUAGUC